rnacentral:rRNA from 1 species
GAUGAACGCUGGCGGCGUGCCUAAUACAUGCAAGUCGAGCGAACGGACGAGAAGCUUGCUUCUCUGAUGUUAGCGGCGGACGGGUGAUUAACACGUGGAUAACCUACCUAUAAGACUGGGAUAACUUCGGGAAACCGUAGCUAAUACCGGAUAAUAUUUUGAACCUCAUGGUUCAAAAGUGAAAGACGGUCUUGCUUUCACUUAUAGAUGGAUCCGCGCUGCAUUAGCUAGUUGGUAAGGUCACGGCUUACCAAGGCAACGAUGCAUAGCCGACCUGAGAGGGUGAUCGGCCACACUGGAACUGAGACACAGUCCCGACUCCUACGGGAGGCAGCAGUAGGGAAUCUUACGCAAUGGGCGAAAGCCUGACGGAGCAAAGCCGCGUGAGUCAUGAAGGUCUUAGGCUCGGAAAACUCUGUUAUUAGGGAAGAACAUAUGUGUAAGUAACUGUGCACAUCUUGACGGUACCUAAUCAGAAAGCCACGGCUAACUACGUG